UAACAAAAUAAAAGCAAGGAAACAUAGU
rnacentral:piRNA from 1 species